AUUGAACGCUGGCGGCAGGCUUAACACAUGCAAGUCGAGCGGUAACAGAGAGACGCUUGCUUCUCUGCUGACGAGCGGCGGACGGGUGAGUAAUGCCUAGGAAUCUGCCUAGUAGUGGGGGAUAACUUGCCGAAAGGUAAGCUAAUACCGCAUACGUCCUACGGGAGAAAGGAGGGGACCUUCGGGCCUUUCGCUAUUAGAUGAGCCUAGGUCGGAUUAGUUAGUUGGUGAGGUAAUGGCUCACCAAGACCGCGAUCCGUAACUGGUCUGAGAGGAUGAUCAGUCACACUGGAACUGAGACACGGUCCAGACUCCUACGGGAGGCAGCAGUGGGGAAUAUUGGACAAUGGGGGGGAACCCUGAUCCAGCCAUGCCGCGUGUGUGAAGAAGGUCUUAGGAUUGUAAAGCACUUUAAGUUGGGAGGAAGAGCAGUUAACUAAUAUUUGACUGUUUUGACGUUACCGACAGAAUAAGCACCGGCUAACUUCGUG
rnacentral:rRNA from 1 species